rnacentral:rRNA from 1 species
GAUGAACGCUGGCGGCGUGCCUAACACAUGCAAGUCGAGCGAUCUUCUUCGGAAGAGAGCGGCGGACGGGUGAGUAACGCGUGGGUAACCUGCCCUAUACACACGGAUAACAUACCGAAAGGUAUGCUAAUACGAGAUGAUAUAAGAAAUUCGCAUGUUUUUCUUAUCAAAGCUUUUGCGGUAUAGGAUGGACCCGCGUCUGAUUAGCUAGUUGGUAAGGUAAUGGCUUACCAAGGCGACGAUCAGUAGCCGACCUGAGAGGGUGAUCGGCCACAUUGGAACUGAGACACGGUCCAAACUCCUACGGGAGGCAGCAGUGGGGAAUAUUGCACAAUGGGCGAAAGCCUGAUGCAGCAACGCCGCGUGAGCGAUGAAGGCCUUCGGGUCGUAAAGCUCUGUCCUCAAGGAAGAUAAUGACGGUACUUGAGGAGGAAGCCCCGGCUAACUACGUGCCAGCAGCCGCCGUAAAAC